rnacentral:rRNA from 1 species
UACAGAGGGGGCAAGCGUUGUUCGGAAUUACUGGGCGUAAAGGGCGCGUAGGUGGCCCGCUAAGUCGAACGUGAAAUCCCCGAGCUCAACCCGGGAACUGCGUCCGAUACUGGCAGGCUUGAAUUCGGGAGAGGGAUGUGGAAUUCCAGGUGUAGCGGUGAAAUGCGUAGAUAUCUGGAGGAACACCGGUGGCGAAGGCGGCAUCCUGGACCGAUAUUGACGCUGAUGCGCGAAAGCCAGGGGAGCAAACGGG